UACGUAGGGAGCAAGCGUUGUCCGGAAUCAUUGGGCGUAAAGCGCGCGUAGGUGGCCACAUAAGUCCGUUGUGAAAGCCAAAGGCUCAACCUUUGAAAGCCGAUGGAUACUGUGUGGCUAGAGUACGGAAGAGGCGAGUGGAAUUCCUGGUGUAGCGGUGGAAUGCGCAGAUAUCAGGAGGAACACCGGUGGCGAAGGCGGAUCUCUGGGCCAUUACUGACGCUGAGGAGCGAAAGCGUGGGGAGCGAACAGG
rnacentral:rRNA from 1 species